rnacentral:tmRNA from 1 species
GGGGGCGACUGGUUUCGACAUGGUAAGUUGGAUUCGAAGAGCAGGUCGUGGUCUCCUCGCCACGUAAAACAGGGGUAAAGUCAAGUUAAUUGGCAAAUCUUACAAUAACAACCUCGCUUUGGCUGCUUAAUUAGCCUGAGGUGCCUAACUAAGGAUUGUCCUUGUCUUUAGGGUGGUAUCAUAUUUAGAGGACUGCUGUUUGUUACGUAACUGGUAUGAACAAACAAAAGACUGAACCCGUUAGAUUGCAUCUAUAAUUUGUCUGUGAGUUUGAUGCAGUUGAAACCUUUUCACUGACUAAGCUUGUAGUGCUUCGCUGAUGAUUUAGUAUGGACCGGAGUUCGAUUCUCCGCGCCUCCACCA